rnacentral:rRNA from 1 species
AUUGAACGCUGGCGGCAGGCCUAACACAUGCAAGUCGAACGGUAGCACAGAAGAGCUUGCUCUUCGGGUGACGAGUGGCGGACGGGUGAGUAAUGUCUGGGGAUCUGCCCGGUAGAGGGGGAUAACCACUGGAAACGGUGGCUAAUACCGCAUAACGUCGCAAGACCAAAGAGGGGGACCUUCGGGCCUCUCACUAUCGGAUGAACCCAGAUGGGAUUAGCUAGUAGGUGGGGUAACGGCUCACCUAGGCGACGAUCCCUAGCUGGUCUGAGAGGAUGACCAGCCACACUGGAACUGAGACACGGUCCAGACUCCUACGGGAGGCAGCAGUGGGGAAUAUUGCACAAUGGGCGCAAGCCUGAUGCAGCCAUGCCGCGUGUAUGAAGAAGGCCUUCGGGUUGUAAAGUACUUUCAGCGGGGAGGAAGGGAUGGAGCUUAAUACGCUCUGUCAUUGACGUUACCCGCAGAAGAAGCACCGGCUAACUCCGUGCCAGCAGCCGCCGUAA